rnacentral:lncRNA from 1 species
UCUUUCUUUUCCUCUGUUUCUCCUUACUCUUGCCUUUUUUCUUAGCAGCAGCCUGUCACUUGAUUCUUAUAGGCUCUAUUUCUAUAUAGAAUGCAGCAAGGAUGUUGGGAAUAUUAUAUCCCACGACAACCGAGUGUAAUGUAAUUAAACUAACAAAUGGAUGCAAAAUAAUUAAUAUUAAAUUAAUCUAAUACAAGUAGAGGAUCACGAAAAGGAAGAUGGAGCGCGAUCACGCACAUGCGAGCCAAGCCA